GCCAACAGCUAGCUCUCUGCAACUCUCACAUGGUCGCCCAGUGAAGCUAAGCAGGGCUGCGCCCGGUCAGUACCUGGAUGGGAGACCACAUGGGAAAGCUAGGUUGCUGCCGGAA
rnacentral:rRNA from 1 species